rfam:Ictidomys tridecemlineatus contig106229, whole genome shotgun sequence.
AGAGUUGUGGCUCAGAGGUAGAGCACUCACCUACCAUGCGUGAGGCACUGGGUUCGAUCCUCAGCACCACAU